GGGUUGUGAGGUUAAGCGACUAAGCGUACACGGUGGAUGCCCUGGCAGUCAGAGGCGAUGAAGGACGUGCUAAUCUGCGAUAAGCGUCGGUAAGGUGAUAUGAACCGUUAUAACCGGCGAUUUCCGAAUGGGGAAACCCAGUGUGAUUCGUCACACUAUCAUUAACUGAAUCCAUAGGUUAAUGAGGCGAACCGGGGGAACUGAAACAUCUAAGUACCCCGAGGAAAAGAAAUCAACCGAGAUUCCCCCAGUAGCGGCGAGCGAACGGGGAGGAGCCCAGAGCCUGAAUCAGUGUGUGUGUUAGUGGAAGCGUCUGGAAAGGCGCGCGAUACAGGGUGACAGCCCCGUACACAAAAAUGCACAUACUGUGAGCUCGAUGAGUAGGGCGGGACACGUGGUAUCCUGUCUGAAUAUGGGGGGACCAUCCUCCAAGGCUAAAUACUCCUGACUGACCGAUAGUGAACCAGUACCGUGAGGGAAAGGCGAAAAGAACCCCGGCGAGGGGAGUGAAAAAGAACCUGAAACCGUGUACGUACAAGCAGUGGGAGCCUCUUAAUGGGGUGACUGCGUACCUUUUGUAUAAUGGGUCAGCGACUUAUAUUCUGUAGCAAGGUUAACCGAAUAGGGGAGCCGAAGGGAAACCGAGUCUUAACUGGGCGUUAAGUUGCAGGGUAUAGACCCGAAACCCGGUGAUCUAGCCAUGGGCAGGUUGAAGGUUGGGUAACACUAACUGGAGGACCGAACCGACUAAUGUUGAAAAAUUAGCGGAUGACUUGUGGCUGGGGGUGAAAGGCCAAUCAAACCGGGAGAUAGCUGGUUCUCCCCGAAAGCUAUUUAGGUAGCGCCUCGUGAAUUCAUCUCCGGGGGUAGAGCACUGUUUCGGCAAGGGGGUCAUCCCGACUUACCAACCCGAUGCAAACUGCGAAUACCGGAGAAUGUUAUCACGGGAGACACACGGCGGGUGCUAACGUCCGUCGUGAAGAGGGAAACAACCCAGACCGCCAGCUAAGGUCCCAAAGUCAUGGUUAAGUGGGAAACGAUGUGGGAAGGCCCAGACAGCCAGGAUGUUGGCUUAGAAGCAGCCAUCAUUUAAAGAAAGCGUAAUAGCUCACUGGUCGAGUCGGCCUGCGCGGAAGAUGUAACGGGGCUAAACCAUGCACCGAAGCUGCGGCAGCGACACUUAUGUGUUGUUGGGUAGGGGAGCGUUCUGUAAGCCUGCGAAGGUGUGCUGUGAGGCAUGCUGGAGGUAUCAGAAGUGCGAAUGCUGACAUAAGUAACGAUAAAGCGGGUGAAAAGCCCGCUCGCCGGAAGACCAAGGGUUCCUGUCCAACGUUAAUCGGGGCAGGGUGAGUCGACCCCUAAGGCGAGGCCGAAAGGCGUAGUCGAUGGGAAACAGGUUAAUAUUCCUGUACUUGGUGUUACUGCGAAGGGGGGACGGAGAAGGCUAUGUUGGCCGGGCGACGGUUGUCCCGGUUUAAGCGUGUAGGCUGGUUUUCCAGGCAAAUCCGGAAAAUCAAGGCUGAGGCGUGAUGACGAGGCACUACGGUGCUGAAGCAACAAAUGCCCUGCUUCCAGGAAAAGCCUCUAAGCAUCAGGUAACAUCAAAUCGUACCCCAAACCGACACAGGUGGUCAGGUAGAGAAUACCAAGGCGCUUGAGAGAACUCGGGUGAAGGAACUAGGCAAAAUGGUGCCGUAACUUCGGGAGAAGGCACGCUGAUA
rnacentral:rRNA from 1 species